UACGGGGGGGGCAAGCGUUGUUCGGAAUUACUGGGCGUAAAGGGUUCGUAGGUGGCUUGCUAAGUCAGACGUGAAAUCCCUCAGCUUAACUGGGGAACUGCGUCUGAUACUGGCGAGCUUGAGUGCAGGAGAGGAACGCGGAAUUCCAGGUGUAGCGGUGAAAUGCGUAGAUAUCUGGAGGAACACCGGUGGCGAAGGCGGCAUCCUGGACCGAUAUUGACGCUGAGGAGCGAAAGCCAGGGGAGCAAACGGG
rnacentral:rRNA from 1 species